rnacentral:hammerhead_ribozyme from 1 species
AUCCGGCUGACGAGUUCCAAAUAGGACGAAACGUGCGUCCUGGAU